UACGUAGGCAGCGAGCGUUGUUCGGAGUUACUGGGCGUAAAGGGUGUGUAGGCGGUUGUUUAAGUUUGGUGUGAAAUCGCUCGGCUCAACUGGGCGGGGUCAGCGGAUACGGUCUCACUUGAGCAAGCUAGGGGGCAAUGGAAUUCCCGGUGUAGUGGUGGAAUGCGUAGAUAUCGGGAGGAACACCAGUGGCGAAGGCGGUUGCCUGGGGCUUUGCUGACGCUGAUGCGCGAAAGCGUGGGGAGCGAUCCGG
rnacentral:rRNA from 1 species